UUUAUGGAGAGUUUGAUCCUGGCUCAGAGUGAACGCUGGCGGCGUGCCUAAUACAUGCAAGUCGAACGAUGAAGCUUCUAGCUUGCUAGAAGUGGAUUAGUGGCGCACGGGUGAGUAAGGUAUAGUUAAUCUGCCCUACACAAGAGGACAACAGUUGGAAACGACUGCUAAUACUCUAUACUCCUGCUUAACACAAGUUGAGUAGGGAAAGUUUUUCGGUGUAGGAUGAGACUAUAUAGUAUCAGCUAGUUGGUAAGGUAAUGGCU
rnacentral:rRNA from 1 species